rnacentral:misc_RNA from 1 species
GAUGAAGAACGUAGCGAAAUGCGAUACGUAAUGUGAAUUGCAGAAUUCAGUGAAUCAUCGAAUCUUUGAACGCAUAUUGCGCUCUCUGGUAUUCCGGAGAGCAUGCUUGUUUGAGUAUCAGUAAACACCUCAACUCCCUUUUCUUUUUUGAAAUGGGAGCUGGACUUGAGUGAUCCCAACACUUUUCUCACUGGAAAGUGGCGGGUCACUUGAAAUGCAGGUGCAGCUGGACUUUUCUCUGAGCUAUAAGCAUAUCUAUUUAGUCUGCCUAAAAAACAGAUUAUUACCUUUGCUGCAGCUAACAUAAAGGAGAUGAGUUCUUGUGCUGACUGAUGCAGGAUUCACAGAGACAGCUUUGCGGCUGACUUUGUAAACUCGAUCUCAAAUCAAGUAAGACUACCCGCUGAACUUAAGCAUAUCAAUAAGCGGAGGG